rnacentral:tRNA from 1 species
UUAAUUGAAACCAAAGUAGAGGUAUAUCACUGUUAAUGAUUUAAUUGAGUUUAACUCCGAUUAAG